CAUUACAGAGUUCAUGCCCUUCGGGGUAGAUCUCCCACCCGUGUCAUCACACCCUCNUUAAGCUUUGGCGGGCCCGCCUCGGCCACCGGCUCCGGCUGGCGAAGCGCCCGCCAGAGGACCCCAAACUCUGAAAUUUAGUGUCGUCUGAGUACUAUAUAAUAGUUAAAACUUUCAACAACGGAUCUCUUGGUUCUGGCAUCGAUGAAGAACGCAGCGAAAUGCGAUAAGUAAUGUGAAUUGCAGAAUUCAGUGAAUCAUCGAAUCUUUGAACGCACAUUGCGCCCCUUGGUAUUCCGGGGGGCAUGCCUGUUCGAGCGUCAUUACAACCCUCAAGCUCUGCUUGGUAUUGGGCGUCCCCGGCGACGGGGUGCCCUAAAAUCAGUGGCGGUGCCGUCUGGUUCUAAGCGUAGUAAAUCUCUCGCUCUGGAUGCCCGGUGGAUGCUCGCCAGAACCCCCCAUUUUUUACAGGUUGACCUCGGAUCAGGUAGGGAUACCCGCUGAACUUAAGCAUAUCAAUAAGCGGAGGAA
rnacentral:rRNA from 1 species